UGUUGCAUGGGACUUGGUUUUUUUAAAUGACUGUUGGAAACCAGCAGCCUUUUUAAUUAGGUGUUGUGUGUGGCUGCCGGCAAAUGAAAAGUGAGCAAACCGGAUACAUUGAAAGGCCGGCUCACAUGUAGUUAUAGUCAGUGUUACCAACUUGGUCUCGGUCAAGUUAGUGCGGACACGUAGCGUGAUUUUUCCUAGGGUAGUACAACGCUGAAGGAGAGAAUGCUGCGGGUGAGAGGCGGAAUGAGAGCGAAUGAAUGUUGGGGGAUGCGCACGAGUAGCGGCCCUAUAAAAGGCAUAACGGCGGAAGAUGACUAUUUUAAUAACCUUUGAGAUUUCGUCAAGAAACCGUUUUCUUUAAUACCCACCAGACAAAAACAGUGUUCAUUGCCGUACGGAAAAAGUGGAAAGUUUAAAUAUAGUUAAAUUGUAAACAGAACGUUUAUUUUAUUGAUUGUGUGUUGCUUAUACAUAUGUAUUUUGUGCGUGCAAAACAAUAUAUCGCCAAGUUCAAAGCUAACCACAACCAAGUCGAAGAAAAUACUGGCUCCUCCAAGUAUUGGCCUGGGGGGAAGUCGGUUAACGUUUUAUGCCAUAACCUUUGAUGCCAAAAUUGCUAAGUUUAAUGCCAUGAAUUGUUGAUGCCAAAAUACAGUCCGAAAUUGCUAAUACUGUGGUGAAACCAGCCGUAUCGUGGUAGAAACCGAAGUGCCAAGGGAGCAUUCUAAUAUGUGGUGAUGAAACGGCGAUUUUUAUUACCUAAAAUGAGACGAAAUUAAAUAACCUAUAAGUAUAUGGCUAUAAGGUAAAAUAAUUAUUAAAUACAUAUCUACCAUAAAGUAAUGCAUAAAAUAUUAGAUGAAGUGCGAUUUUUAAUCUAAAGACAAAAAAAAAAAUUACCUAAAUUAUUUAUGUCGUUAUCUUAAGUUGUGAUUGCUUGUAGUUAAUGUGCUAGUUGUAAGUCCAAGUUAAUUUUUCUAUUUUAUUGUGAGGAUUUUUUAACGCCAGGAAUUGAGUGAGUGAGGUAAGGUUAUCAAAGUAUACGAAGGGAAGAAUGAUAGUGGUUUAGAUUUCAUGUAUGGACUAAAUGAUGAGGUCCAUUAAAACCAACUAACCGAGCUCGUUUAGGAAGGAGUAAAUAUCAGCAAAUUAGUCAGAUUUGGCAAUUAAAGCAAACCCCCCUUUUCGUAUGUGAUUGGUAGUCGAAAUUAGUGUCUCACGGUAAGAAUAACAGCAGGUGUUAAGAUUUCCGUAAGCGUCUUCUUUAAAUAUGUUUAACGUUUAGGAUUAAGUCCAUUAACAAUAAAAAUAAAUAUUUUAUGUUUGAUUGUUUAGUAUAAUAUGAA